CUUUCUUGCGGGCGAUCGACGAUGAUCCGGCGGAGCUAGGGCACGACAGGGGGGAGUUGAUUCACAUCUUUCUUGGUGGAUCGAGCCCCUCUCAGCUUUUCAAUUUGAUCUAUUCAUUGGAGGGGGUUGCGGAUCGUCGUCCAGUUGAGGUGGAUCGCGCGGAUCGAUUGAGAGGAAACAGAGGAUCCGCGUGCUGUGGACGUUCCCUGUUGCCGGCCACUGCCAAUUCCACUUCUUGAAGCUGUGGAGGGUUCCUGCUCGGGUUCACUACUGGAAAG